rnacentral:sRNA from 1 species
GCCAGGUGCGGUGGUGCACACCUGGAAUCCUAGCAACUCAGGAGGCUGAGGCAGGAGGAUCACAAGUUUGAGGCCCUCAGCAACUUAGUGAGACCCUGUCUCAA